UACGCAGGGGGCUAGCGUUGCUCGGAAUCACUGGGCGUAAAGGGUGCGUAGGCGGGGCUUUAAGUCAGGGGUGAAAUCCUGGAGCUCAACUCCAGAACUGCCUUUGAUACUGAGGAUCUUGAGUUCGGGAGAGGUGAGUGGAACUGCGAGUGUAGAGGUGAAAUUCGUAGAUAUUCGCAAGAACACCAGUGGCGAAGGCGGCUCACUGGCCCGAUACUGACGCUGAGGCACGAAAGCGUGGGGAGCAAACAGG
rnacentral:rRNA from 1 species